GACGAAGGAUCCAAGCGUUAUCCGGAUUUAUUGGGUUUAAAGGGUGCGUAGGCGGAUUGAUAAGUCAGUGGUGAAAGCCUGCAGCUUAACUGCAGAACUGCCAUUGAUACUGUCAAUCUUGAAUAUGUUUGAUGUGGGCGGAAUGUGACAUGUAGCGGUGAAAUUCGUAGAUAUUGGGAGGAACACCGGUGGCGAAAGCGGCUCUCUAGACCAUUUCUGACACUCAUACGCGAGAGCGUGGGUAGCAAACAGG
rnacentral:rRNA from 1 species